rnacentral:rRNA from 1 species
AGAUUGAACGCUAGCGGGAUGCUUUACACAUGCAAGUCGAACGGCAGCGCGGACUUCGGUCUGGCGGCGAGUGGCGAACGGGUGAGUAAUAUAUCGGAACGUGCCCAGUAGCGGGGGAUAACUACGCGAAAGCGUGGCUAAUACCGCAUACGCCCGUACGGGGGGAAAGGGGGGAUUCUUCGGAACCUCUCACUAUUGGAGCGGCCGAUAUCAGAUUAGCUAGUUGGUGAGGUAAAGGCUACACCAAGGCCGCGAUCUGUAGCUGGUUGAGAGGACGACCACGCCACACUGGGACUGGAGACCACGGCCCAGACCUCCGUACGGGAGCAGCAGGU